GACGAACGCUGGCGGCGUGCUUAACACAUGCCAGUCGAACGGAAAGGCCCUGCUUUUGUGGGGUGCUCGAGUGGCGAACGGGUGAGUAACACGUGAGUAACCUGCCCUUGACUUUGGGAUAACUUCAGGAAACUGGGGCUAAUACCGGAUAGGAGCUCCUGCUGCAUGGUGGGGGUUGGAAAGUUUCGGCGGUUGGGGAUGGACUCGCGGCUUAUCAGCUUGUUGGUGGGGUAGUGGCUUACCAAGGCUUUGACGGGUAGCCGGCCUGAGAGGGUGACCGGCCACAUUGGGACUGAGAUACGGCCCAGACUCCUACGGGAGGCAGCAGUGGGGAAUAUUGCACAAUGGGCGGAAGCCUGAUGCAGCAACGCCGCGUGCGGGAUGACGGCCUUCGGGUUGUAAACCGCUUUCGCCUGUGACGAAGCGUGAUUGACGGUAAUGGGUAAAGAAGCACCGGCUAACUACGUG
rnacentral:rRNA from 1 species